rnacentral:lncRNA from 1 species
GCCUCGAUCCGCGUCUCCUCGUUUGCCAUCAGAAACCCCGAAAACUCAUCCUUGGACAUCGACGACCUCGGCGGGCUCCAAAAGAAAUUGUUGAAUGCGUGCAACUCUAAACCCUACCUCCAAAAGCUGUGGCUCCUCUGGUACACCCCACCCAACGCGUCAUCUCGAGGCGCCUCUGCAUCGUGCAUCGCCGCGGGUAAGAACGAGGUCCACCGCCGAAUUGCAUGCUGCGCUUGCACAUCCUGCGACAUAGGCAUGUAGUCACCCAUCGAUUCAUACAACGAUGGCGACCACCAACUCCCCCG